UCACCGGGUAGAAAUCAUCU
rnacentral:miRNA from 1 species